AAAUUGAAGAGUUUGAUCAUGGCUCAGAUUGAACGCUGGCGGCAGGCCUAACACAUGCAAGUCGAACGGUAACAGGAAACAGCUUGCUGUUUCGCUGACGAGUGGCGGACGGGUGAGUAAUGUCUGGGAAACUGCCUGAUGGAGGGGGAUAACUACUGGAAACGGUAGCUAAUACCGCAUAACGUCGCAAGACCAAAGAGGGGGACCCUCGGGCCUCUUGCCAUCGGAUGUGCCCAGAUGGGAUUAGCUUGUUGGUGGGGUAACGGCUCACCAAGGCGACGAUCCCUAGCUGGUCUGAGAGGAUGACCAGCCACACUGGAACUGAGACACGGUCCAGACUCCUACGGGAGGCAGCAGUGGGGAAUAUUGCACAAUGGGCGCAAGCCUGAUGCAGCCAUGCCGCGUGUAUGAAGAAGGCCUUCGGGUUGUAAAGUACUUUCAGCGGGGAGGAAGGGAGUAAAGUUAAUACCUUUGCUCAUUGACGUUACCCGCAGAAGAAGCACCGGCUAACUCCGUGCCAGCAGCCGCGGUAAUACGGAGGGUGCAAGCGUUAAUCGGAAUUACUGGGCGUAAAGCGCACGCAGGCGGUUUGUUAAGUCAGAUGUGAAAUCCCCGGGCUCAACCUGGGAACUGCAUCUGAUACUGGCAAGCUUGAGUCUCGUAGAGGGGGGUAGAAUUCCAGGUGUAGCGGUGAAAUGCGUAGAGAUCUGGAGGAAUACCGGUGGCGAAGGCGGCCCCCUGGACGAAGACUGACGCUCAGGUGCGAAAGCGUGGGGAGCAAACAGGAUUAGAUACCCUGGUAGUCCACGCCGUAAACGAUGUCGACUUGGAGGUUGUGCCCUUGAGGCGUGGCUUCCGGAGCUAACGCGUUAAGUCGACCGCCUGGGGAGUACAGUACCGCAAGGUUAAAACUCAAAUGAAUUGACGGGGGCCCGCACAAGCGGUGGAGCAUGUGGUUUAAUUCGAUGCAACGCGAAGAACCUUACCUGGUCUUGACAUCCACGGAAGUUUUCAGAGAUGAGAAUGUGCCUUCGGGAACCGUGAGACAGGUGCUGCAUGGCUGUCGUCAGCUCGUGUUGUGAAAUGUUGGGUUAAGUCCCGCAACGAGCGCAACCCUUAUCCUUUGUUGCCAGCGGUCCGGCUAGGGAACUCAAAGGAGACUGCCAGUGAUAAACUGGAGGAAGGUGGGGAUGACGUCAAGUCAUCAUGGCCCUUACGACCAGGGCUACACACGUGCUACAAUGGCGCAUACAAAGAGAAGCGACCUCGCGAGAGCAAGCGGACCUCAUAAAGUGCGUCGUAGUCCGGAUUGGAGUCUGCAACUCGACUCCAUGAAGUCGGAAUCGCUAGUAAUCGUGGAUCAGAAUGCCACGGUGAAUACGUUCCCGGGCCUUGUACACACCGCCCGUCACACCAUGGGAGUGGGUUGCAAAAGAAGUAGGUAGCUUAACCUUCGGGAGGGCGCUUACCACUUUGUGAUUCAUGACUGGGGUGAAGUCGUAACAAGGUAACCGUAGGGGAACCUGCGGUUGGAUCACCUCCUUA
rnacentral:rRNA from 1 species